GGCUGUGGCUCAGUGGUAGUGCCCUUGCCUGCAAUGCGUGAAGCACUGGGUUCAAUUCUCAGCACCCCA
rnacentral:tRNA from 1 species